rnacentral:lncRNA from 1 species
GACCUUCUUCCCCCAACAGAGGUCCCAAAGCGAAAAACAGACCUAUUUGGAAGUAAGGAGGGAGAUGCAUUUAGAAGAUACUACCAGAUUCUGUCCCAAAGAAGAAAGAGAAAGUGAACAAACAUCUUUCAGCGAUCAAAAUCCCAGGCAAGACCAGAAGGGGGGCUUUCGCAGCUCCUUCCGCAAGCUCUUUAAAAAGAAGGGCUUGUUUGGCUGGUGGCCCCACACACCCAGAAUGCUGCUUCGGGAUGAAGCUAGGCAUGGAGCCAGAUGCAGCAGAAAACCUGAGAAAGGGUUCUCUUCCCUCUGAGGCUGGGAGGGCCGAAGGCUCAUACCCACAAGGAUUCAAAAGGGAGAGUCAAGUUGACAUCAUUAAAAAAAUCCUGAAAAAUGCCCAAAAUAUUUGGGGAAAAGAAUGACCUUCUGAUUGUUUCCAUCUCAGGCACAUUUGUCCUGGGCAGACACAAGGUCACAUGUCCCUGAAAGGUAUCCAUAAUUGAUCAGAAUA